GAUAAGGGCAGUUUUGCACUAUUCACGUUCAACGUUUAACCGUUCGUUUUAUUUGAAAAUUUUUUAGAUUAGUGUUUUUAUUGCUAUUAGAUGAUAAAAUAUGAAUAGUAUUUUAUGUGUGAUUAAAUAUUUUUAAUUUUUUCAUAAAUUUUUCAAAUAAGACAGACGAUCAAACGUUGGAUACGAAUAUCCACGACUACACUUAUU
rfam:Oryza glumipatula chromosome 1, whole genome shotgun sequence.